AUGACUUGUCUCCAUGAUAUUCUGAAGGCGGAUUUCAAAGGGGACGAGGUGAUGUGCCUCAACACCAAACCGAAAAGGAAAUGGGAAGCAGGAUUGGAGGCAGUACGCGUCAUGGAAAUGAGGAUGACUACUAUGGCAAUGGGGGAUAUGGUAACUAUGGCGAGGGUGAUCUGUAUCUUGAUGAGCACCAUGAUCACUAUGGUGAUGGGGAAUAUGAUGACUAUGGAGAUGAGGAUGACUAUGGCUAUGGCGAUGAUUAUGAUGAUUGGCUAUAAAAGUCUAAUGAUCUUCAAGUCAUGCCAAAAUGAAGUUAUGUUAGAUAUUUGA
rnacentral:rRNA from 1 species